GCCUUCGUGGUGUAGUGGUAGCACGCUCGGCGCGUAUUCGAGAGGUCCGUGGUUCGAGUCCCGGCGAGGGCA
rfam:Stegodyphus mimosarum contig80602, whole genome shotgun sequence.